rnacentral:rRNA from 1 species
AGCGAACGCUGGUGGCAGGCCUAACACAUGCAAGUCGAACGAACUCUUCGGAGUUAGUGGCGGACGGGUGAGUAACACGUGGGAACGUGCCUUUAGGUUCGGAAUAACUCAGGGAAACUUGUGCUAAUACCGAAUGUGCCCUUCGGGGGAAAGAUUUAUCGCCUUUAGAGCGGCCCGCGUCUGAUUAGCUAGUUGGUGAGGUAAAGGCUCACCAAGGCGACGAUCAGUAGCUGGUCUGAGAGGAUGAUCAGCCACAUUGGGACUGAGACACGGCCCAAACUCCUACGGGAGGCAGCAGUGGGGAAUCUUGCGCAAUGGGCGAAAGCCUGACGCAGCCAUGCCGCGUGAAUGAUGAAGGUCUUGGGAUUGUAAAAUUCUUUCACCGGGGACGAUAAUGACGGUACCCGGAGAAGAAGCCCCGGCUAACUUCGUGCCAGCCGCCGCAGUAA